rnacentral:rRNA from 1 species
UACGGAGGGGGCUAGCGUUGUUCGGAAUUACUGGGCGUAAAGCGCGCGUAGGCGGCUUUGUAAGUUAGAGGUGAAAGCCCGGAGCUCAACUCCGGAACUGCCUUUAAAACUGCAUCGCUUGAAUCAUGGAGAGGUGAGUGGAAUUCCGAAUGUAGAGGUGAAAUUCGUAGAUAUUCGGAAGAACACCAGUGGCGAAGGCGAGUCCCUGGACAACACCUGACACUGAGGCACGAAAGCUAGGGAGCAAACAGG